rnacentral:rRNA from 1 species
CCUACGGGAGGCAGCAGUGAGGAAUAUUGGUCAAUGGACGAGAGUCUGAACCAGCCAAGUAGCGUGAAGGAUGACUGCCCUAUGGGUUGUAAACUUCUUUUAUACAGGAAUAAAACGAGGCACGUGUGCCUUUUUGCAUGUACUUUAUGAAUAAGGAUCGGCUAACUCCGUGCCAGCAGCCGCGGUAAUACGGAGGAUCCGAGCGUUAUCCGGAUUUAUUGGGUUUAAAGGGUGCGUAGGCGGGUUGAUAAGUCAGUUGUGAAAUUUUGCGGCUCAACCGUAAAAUUGCCAUUGAUACUGGCAGUCUUGAGUACAGUUGAGGUAGGCGGAAUGCGUGGUGUAGCGGUGAAAUGCUUAGAGAUCACAAAGAACCCCGAUUGCGAAGGCAGCUUACUAAACUAUGACUGACAUUGAUGCUCGAAAGUGUGGGUAGCAAACAGGAUUAGAUACCCGAGUAGUC